rnacentral:rRNA from 1 species
UACGGGGGGGGCAAGCGUUGUUCGGAAUUACUGGGCGUAAAGGGCUCGUAGGCGGCCAACUAAGUCAGACGUGAAAUCCCUCGGCUUAACCGAGGAACUGCGUCUGAUACUGGAUGGCUUGAAUCCGGGAGAGGGAUGUGGAAUUCCAGGUGUAGCGGUGAAAUGCGUAGAUAUCUGGAGGAACACCGGUGGCGAAGGCGGCAUCCUGGACCGGUAUUGACGCUGAGGAGCGAAAGUGUGGGGAGCGAACAGG